GGCGCAGCAGGCGCGAAACCUCCGCAAUGCGGGAAACCGCGACGGGGUCAGCCGGAGUGCUCGCGCAUCGCGCGGGCUGUCGGGGUGCCUAAAAAGCACCCCACAGCAAGGGCCGGGCAAGGCCGGUGGCAGCCGCCGCGGUAAUACCGGCGGCCCGAGUGGCGGCCACUUUUAUUGGGCCUAAAGCGUCCGUAGCCGGGCUGGUAAGUCCUCCGGGAAAUCUGGUCGCUUAACGAUCAGACUUCCGGAGGAUACUGCCAGCCUAGGGACCGGGAGAGGCCGGGGGUAUUCCCGGAGUAGGGGUGAAAUCCUGUAAUCCCGGGAGGACCACCUGUGGCGAAGGCGCCCGGCUGGAACGGGUCCGACGGUGAGGGACGAAGGCCAGGGGAGCGAACCGGAUUAGAUACCCGGGUAGUCCUGGCUGUAAACGAUGCGGACUAGGUGUCACCGAAGCUACGAGCUUCGGUGGUGCCGGAGGGAAGCCGUUAAGUCCGCCGCCUGGGGAGUACGGCCGCAAGGCUGAAACUUAAAGGAAUUGGCGGGGGAGCACUACAACGGGUGGAGCCUGCGGUU
rnacentral:rRNA from 1 species